rnacentral:rRNA from 1 species
UACGUAGGGUGCGAGCGUUAAUCGGAAUUACUGGGCGUAAAGCGUGCGCAGGCGGUUCGUUAUGUCCGAUGUGAAAGCCCCGAGCUUAACUUGGGAAUGGCAUUGGAAACUGGCGGGCUGGAGUGCGGCAGAGGGGGGUGGAAUUCCACGUGUAGCAGUGAAAUGCGUAGAGAUCGGGAGGAACAUCAGUUGCGAAGGCGGCUCUCUGGACCAGCACUGACACUGAGGCACGAAAGCGUGGGGAGCAAACAGG